GAUGAACGCUGGCGGCGUGGCUAAUACAUGCAAGUCGAGCGAAUGGAUUAAGAGCUUGCUCUUAUGAAGUUAGCGGCGGACGGGUGAGUAACACGUGGGUAACCUGCCCAUAAGACUGGGAUAACUCCGGGAAACCGGGGCUAAUCCCGGAUAACAUUUUGAACCGCAUGGUUCGAAAUUGAAAGGCGGCUUCGGCUGUCACUUAUGGAUGGACCCGCGUCGCAUUAGCUAGUUGGUGAGGUAACGGCUCACCAAGGCAACGAUGCGUAGCCGACCUGAGAGGGUGAUGGGCCACACUGGGACGGAGACACGGCCCAGACUCCUACGGGAGGCAGCAGUAGGGAAUCUUCCGCAAUGGACGAAAGUCUGACGGAGCAACGCCGCGUGAGUGAUGAAGGCUUUCGGGUCGUAAAACUCUGUUGUUAGGGAAGAACAAGUGCUAGUUGAAUAAGCUGGCACCUUGACGGUACCUAACCAGAAAGCCACGGCUAACUACGUGCCAGCCGCCGCCGUAA
rnacentral:rRNA from 1 species